rnacentral:lncRNA from 1 species
CACUAUCCCCAUCCCAAACUCCCAAUUUAUCUCCAUCGCAUCCUUAUACUACUCCGACAUACCCUCCAAAACUUUCACCAAUUCCAUCACCUCCUUAUACUUCACCUCCACCCCCACCACCUAUCCUCAAAUCUCCACCUCCUCCGUGGUUUACACUUCCUCCCUUCUUUCCCUUUAAAUCCCCGCCACCCCCAUCUCCUUCUCCCCCUCCACCUAUCCUCAAAUCUCCACCUCCUCCAAGGUUUACACUUCCUCCUUUAUUUCCCUUUAAAUCCCCGCCACCUCCAUCUCCUUCUCCCCCUCCACCUAUCCUCAAAUCUCCACCUCCUCCGAGGUUUACACUUCCUCCUUUCUUUCCAUUUAAAUCCCCGCCACCUCCAUCUCGUACUCCCCCUCCUUAUAUCCUAAAAUCUCCACCUCCUCCGAGGUUUACACUUCCUCCUUUCUUUCCCUUUAAAUCCCCGCCACCUCCAUCUUCUUCUUCCCCUCCACGCACCCUAAAAUCCUCCAUCUCAUUCAAUAAUUAACCACCUCCUCUAUCCUCCAUGUACCCUUUUUCUUUAA